GACCCAAUAGAAUAGACGUCUAGUCUCGCUAUCUUUGGGCCAUUGAAGCGAAUGAAAGCCGCCACAGUAUAUGUCGGCAUCCCUGAGGUAAAGCUGGUACCUCUAGACCAGUGCACGGAACUCGUACGGUCACCUCGGCAACCCAACCACCGCCAGUCUGUAGAGGUGCGCUUUAAGUGUGAAAUGUCCCCAGAAAACUACCGUCUAAAACUUCCACAACCUUCAUAGAUUCACGACGACAUUGGCGCAGCGUAGUCGUUGUCCAGCGCGCGACAAACCGUACCUGCGACCGUAAAAUCAUCCAUAAGACCACGGUGGGUGAUCGGUCGUCAGGUUGUCAAUCACAUGAUUACAGGGACCAAUGAAAAACCGCUGCCACACAGCGCUGCUAUAGAUGAAAUCAACGCUUAUAAAAAAAAAAAAAAAAACACUAGGGGUCCCCAUACCAUCCAGAACAUAAUCCUGUCCAUCUGAAGCUCAGGCAGGAACAAAGUCCAGGAAGUGAAGGCGGGACUAGCAGGAGGAGGUUACAAAGAAGCCUGCAGUGAUUGGAUGAAGAGACUCAGCACAGCAGACUCAGGGAGGAAGAGGAGUUAUGCAGAGUGAGGAGAAGCCUUCUCCAGAAAACAGAAUAAAAACAACAAGUACUCUAAGAUUAUAGUGGUUAUAAGUUAACUCACUGAGCAGUUCUUGUGGGGUUGAUGCGUCACAGACACCAAAAAGAAGCCGUAACAAGCAGAGACCUGGAGUGUUGGAACAGUAGUUGAGGGGGACUGGAGGAGGUAAACUAUCGGGACAGAUGUUGUGCUGCUGAUGCAGGUACCUUACAGAGGAUCGCCUAGUCUGGAUUACAAUUUAGCAGAUGCUCAGCUAGAAGAAGUAUUAGAAGGGAAAGCUCCAUUGCAAAAGUGAGGAUAGCACGCACCCUCUUCUUAUUGGAUGCCACAACAACAAUGCGAUCCUAGCCAAAAAAAGACGUGCCAAUUAGAAGAUGACGGGAGUAAAGUUUCAAUAGUAUUACGGAUUGUGGUGCCCGGUCUUCUCACAUUGAAAAAGCAUUAUUGUUAUUAAUAUUUUUAUUAUUAUUAUUAUUAUUAUACUAGUCUAGUAAUGUUUUUGCAUAUUACUGCUCUACACACUGUCAACCAAAUGAAGCUGAGAUUUAUAUAUUAACCAUUAAAAAGUCUACCAUUUACACAAUCCACUAAAAAUUGGAUAUUUCUAAUGUAUUGACCAAU